rnacentral:sRNA from 1 species
ACCAAACAAAAGUCUAUUUAGACUAUAGUUUAUAGAUUUUUUUAAUAUAUAUAUUUAUCAAAGCGGAUAUCCGCAAAUAUUUAAAAAAAAAAUCCGGAUAUUCGAAAUUCCGGAUAUUUAGAAAUUUUCGAAUCAAAGCAAAUUAUAAAAUCAAGUAUUCGGUUAAAACGAAUCGAAUAACAAAUAUUAUAAUUUUUUCGGAUAUCCGCUUCGUGCCCAAACCUAGUUUUCACAAACCAAAACACAAAACCUGAAUAUCUUCCACCCCUAAAUCCUACAUCAGAAUAACAAUUACCUAUAAAAAAACACAACCAAUUCAAAAUCCAUUCCUCUUCUAUAAAAAGGUUACCAACUUACCAUUAAUUAAUUAGAUGAUAGAUGAAAAAUUAUGUUCACCAAAGUCCAACCUA